rnacentral:lncRNA from 1 species
UAACCCCUAUGCCCCAUGAAAAAGGCAUCUGUUUCUGUGGUGACUCGUGGAUUCUGCACUCUUCUGUCUUGUGUAUUCAGUUGUGUAAAUUUAAGGAAGGAAUAUACAACACCACUUUUAAAAUCUGAACACAUUUUAAAACACUAGUUUUCAUACAAGAGGCACAAAUGUAAUGUGUGGAUGCAGAAAGCAUUUAUACCAGACAUAAUCUAAUUUAUUUCACUUGACUAAUUUAAGUCAGUUGACCUUUAUUGUCAUUCCAUCAUAUGUAGAGACCAACAAAUAUAGUGUCUAUGCAAAACGCUCACUAACGAGUGAACAGACAUAAUUUACACCUGCUGAAGUUUAUAGAAACUUUACAGUUUUCCUAAAAUAAACUUUGUUUUAUUUGAUCUUAAUUAUUUUACAGGACAUCUAGAGCUGUAGAAUCACAUGAGGAGGUUGUGACGGGUGAAGAUGAGGAUGGAUGAAGAAAAUGAAGCAGUAGAUGAAGAAAAUAAGGAAGAUGAAGAAAAGAUUGAUAUGAUCUGAUACAUUAAAGCCUGACAGGAUCUCUGUCUUUCAUCAGUAUAUCUGCAGUAUAUCAGUCACACGCCCCAUACUGCUUGACAAUGUCAUUACAUAAACAUUCCCUCUUAUCUCAUUGUCAGGAAACACUCACAGACUCUAUGAAAGAUCCACAUGCUUCAAUUUAAUAAAGUAAUACCAAAAACCUAAUACAUGAGACAAAAUAGGGCAAAAACAAUCACACACGGUGAAACAAAUCGGACACCAGCAAAGACACAGAGCAAUUCUUCCACAACCCAAAACUCAGUCAGCAUUGUAUAUAUACAGGUGAGCUAAAAUGGUAAUCACCCGCAGCUGAUGGCAAUGAGGGUUGAUAGUCCAGGCAAAGGGUGAUGGGAGUUGGAGUUCAAUGAAAACAAACAAUAGUUCAAAAGAGUGCCCUCUGGUGGCUAACAUGGGCACUCCGACAAGUGGCUGUGACAAAUGGCUCUUGAAACACAUCAUAAGACUAAAGAAUAAUGGAAAAAUAAUAUUAAAAAACAAUAAUAUAAAUGACUAUUCAAUGAACAAAUCAAUGAAAUGAAUAUAUGAAUGGUUAAAAUGAUAAUAAACGAUAAUAUGAUUUAUUGGAAUAAUAAAAUGAUUAAAUGAAAAAUAAUUAAAAAUCAAUAAAUGAAUAUAAAAGAAAGAAAGCACAACACAAAUGUAUGGUUGCACUCUUGAAGCAACACACAGUUUGCAUAUGCAAAAACACACACUGAUCUUACUGUCUAUAUCAGUGUUUCUCAACCCUGGUCCUGGGCGC